CGUUCUGUAAGCGGUUGAAGGUGUGUGGUAACGCAUGCUGGACGUAUCAGAAGUGCGAAUGCUGACAUGAGUAACGAUAAAGGGGGUGAAAAACCUCCUCGCCGGAAGACCAAGGGUUCCUGUCCAACGUUAAUCGGGGCAGGGUAAGUCGACCCCUAAGGCGAGGCCGAAAGGCGUAGUCGAUGGGAAACGGGUUAAUAUUCCCGUACUUCUUACAAUUGCGAUGGGGGGACGGAGAAGGCUAGGUGGGCCUGGCGACGGUUGUCCAGGUUCAAGUGCGUAGGCUUAAGAGUUAGGUAAAUCCGGCUCUUUUUAAGGCUGAGACACGACGUCGAGCACCUACGGGUGUGAAGUCAUUGAUGCCAUGCUUCCAGGAAAAGCCUCUAAGCUUCAGAUUGUAAGGAAUCGUACCCCAAACCGACACAGGUGGUCGGGUAGAGAAUACCAAGGCGCUUGAGAGAACUCGGGUGAAGGAACUAGGCAAAAUGGUACCGUAACUUCGGGAGAAGGUACGCUCUCGACGGUGAAGUCCCUCGCGGAUGGAGCUAUUGAGAGUCGCAGAUACCAGGUGGCUGCAACUGUUUAUUAAAAACACAGCACUGUGCAAAAUCGUAAGAUGACGUAUACGGUGUGACGCCUGCCCGGUGCCGGAAGGUUAAUUGAUGGGGUUAGACUUCGGUCGAAGCUCUUGAUCGAAGCCCCGGUAAACGGCGGCCGUAACUAUAACGGUCCUAAGGUAGCGAAAUUCCUUGUCGGGUAAGUUCCGACCUGCACGAAUGGCGUAAUGAUGGCCACGCUGUCUCCACCCGAGACUCAGUGAAAUUGAAAUCGCUGUGAAGAUGCAGUGUACCCGCGGCUAGACGGAAAGACCCCGUGAACCUUUACUACAGCUUGGCACUGAACAUUGACCCUACAUGUGUAGGAUAGGUGGGAGGCUUUGAAGCACGUACGCCAGUAUGUGUGGAGCCGUCCUUGAAAUACCACCCUUGUAGUGUUGAUGUUCUAACGUCGACCCCUUAUCGGGGUUGCGGACAGUGCCUGGUGGGUAGUUUGACUGGGGCGGUCUCCUCCCAAAGAGUAACGGAGGAGCACGAAGGUGGGCUAAUCACGGUUGGACAUCGUGAGGUUAGUGCAAUGGCAUAAGCCCGCUUGACUGCGAGAAUGACAAUUCGAGCAGGUGCGAAAGCAGGUCAUAGUGAUCCGGUGGUUCUGAAUGGAAGGGCCAUCGCUCAACGGAUAAAAGGUACUCCGGGGAUAACAGGCUGAUACCGCCCAAGAGUUCAUAUCGACGGCGGUGUUUGGCACCUCGAUGUCGGCUCAUCACAUCCUGGGGCUGAAGUCGGUCCCAAGGGUAUGGCUGUUCGCCAUUUAAAGUGGUACGCGAGCUGGGUUUAGAACGUCGUGAGACAGUUCGGUCCCUAUCUGCCGUGGGCGUUGGAAGAUUGAAGGGGGCUGCUCCUAGUACGAGAGGACCGGAGUGGACGAACCUCUGGUGUUCGGGUUGUGUCGCCAGACGCAUUGCCCGGUAGCUAAGUUCGGAAUCGAUAACCGCUGAAAGCAUCUAAGCGGGAAGCGAGCCCUGAGAUGAGUCUUCCCUGAUACUUUAAGUAUCCUAAAGGGUUGUCGGAGACUACGACGUUGAUAGGUCAGGUGUGUAAGUGCUGUGAGGCAUUGAGCUAACUGAUACUAAUUGCCCGUGAGGCUUAACCAUACAACAC
rnacentral:rRNA from 1 species